UAUUUUCUAUAUUUUUCUUAUCACUUCAAUCAUUUGAACCAUCUCUCCUAUUAAACCUGUGACUUUCAUUCCAUUUAUCUAAACCCGCAAGGUCUUAUCUUUCUAUUCUUUAAAGUCUUUAUUAACCAUAGUACCUUUUGCAUCAUGGCUUAGCAAGAUCAAUGGUUUUCCUCAUCCCCGAACGAUAACGAGCUAUAAUUAGUUUGCUAAGACCUAAAUAGUUUCUGUUGCAUUAGAUUUAUAAAAACUUUUUAUAGAGGCUACAUACCAACCGCGUUAUCUGAUAGCUGGUUCUUCUCUUUUCUAUCGAAGUAGAAUAAUCUUUACCACUUUCUUCCUUCAAAAAUUAAAGAUUUUUUACAUUUUUUAGGAUAAGCUAAAAAACCCUUUCUAUAAUUCAACCAAGAAUCACUCUAUUACUUAGGCCUAAAACCAGCCCUAGUUUCUCCUUUACGUUCUUGUACACCUUUCUUCACUUCUAAAAUCUUAUUAAUUUAUGAAAACAAAGAGAAAUAUAUUAUAAAACUUUCAUUAUUAUAUAAAUAAUGCUAAGAUUAGUAUUUUAAUUAUCACCUUUUAUUUAUCCUAUAAACUCAUUUAUCUAUCUAUAAACCACUAUAUAUUCUUAAUUAACUCUGCAAACAUUUAGUUCGACUGUUUACCAAAAACAUUGCUUCUAGUAACCCUAUUAGAAGUUCAUCCUGCCCAGUGAUUCAUUUUCAACGGCCGCGGUAUCCUGACCGUGCAAAGGUAGCAUAAUCAUUUGCCUUUUAAUUGAAGGCUAGUAUGAAUGGACAAACGAAACUAAAACUGUCUCAUAUCUAUCCCUAAAAAUUAGCCUUCAGGUGAAGAUACCUGAAUUUUCCUAAAAGACAAGAAGACCCCGUAGAGUUUUAGACCUCUUUUUAAUCUAUAAAUAUUUUGGUCUUUGGUUGGGGCGACCAAGGAUUAAUUAAAACAUCCUUUAACACCUAGAGUUAUCCCUCUUAUUUAAAGACCCUAUUUUAUUGAUCUUCAAAAACAACUACCUCGGGGAUAACAGGCUUAUCUUCCUAGAGAGUUCACAUUGACAGGAAGGUUUGGCACCUCGAUGUUGGCUUAGAGUACCCAGGAAAUGCAGCCGUUUCCUUGUGUUAGUUUGUUCAACUAUUAAAACUCUACAUGAGCUGAGUUCAGACCGGCGCAAGCCAGGUUAGUUUCUAUCUUUAGUUAGACUAGUGAUCAGUUAGUACGAAAGGACCACA
rnacentral:rRNA from 1 species